UUGAAUUUGAAUCUAUGUGAUGUGUUGCAUUUGUAUUGACUGACUGUAGCAUUGUGUAAUCAGUUUCUGAAUUUGCUUACUGUACUUUUGAUCUGUGGUACAUUAGAGUAAAAUAAUUUAAUCAUGGAACAGCUUGGCCCUGUCGAGACCAUAUCAGAUUCUGAGGAUAUGUCCCUUCUACUACCCCCUUCUAUUCCCACACCUGGUGUACGGGUAGAGUUAGACUCUUCAGAUAUAGACAAUUUUGUUUUCCCACCACCUCCUACAGAUAAUGAUGAGGGCACAAUAGUUGAUCUUGAGGUUUUCUCCCAGGCCAUUGAUUCUAUGAAAACAGUGUUUGAAAGCACCAUUGCCUGUCAGAGACAAUGGCUUGAGGAGGGCUUGAAGCAUGAUUCCAAAGAAGCUGUUGAAGUUAAAGGGGAUGUUUCUCGUUUAGUGGAAAAAGCGAAUGAUGACCUGCUUAAUACUAUUGCAGAGCGCAUCAGAGAGUUACUCUCAAAAUGCAUAGAACACAUUCAGUGGAACUCUAAGCAGACAUCAACUGAGUUCCAGACCCUUCUAAAAGCAUCACACACUGCACUGUAAAAAAUACAACUUGCCUUUAGUACUGCCAAAUAACUUUUCUGACUAAACAGAACUCAAAUAAUCAAAUAGUGUAGUAAAACUCAUUAUAACAAGUUUUCACAACUAAUUUGGGAAUUUCACCUAACAAACUUAAGAAACUGAGUUGACUCAACUUGCAUAAUUAAGUAUCUAUAAGAGAGAAGUUUCCCAAAGUUCACUGAACUUCUUAGUCAAGUUGGCGCAAGCGCAUUGUUUCCUAACGUAUCAAGGCGACCUGUGGGCUGCAGCUUGAAUUUGUCAGGAGGACAGAAGCCAGUCACCUUCCCUACCUGUAUGCAGCGUGGAGCAAAUGACAACAGCAUUGUCAAAGACUCUUCUGUUGCAAUGCAAUGUAAGGAGUGUCCAUUUUCUCACCCGGAUGUAGAGACCCUCCUGACCCAUUACAGGCUUCAUCAUGGUCACCAGGGAAAAAGCUGGCUCUGCCUCCACCCUAAGUGCAUCUUUAAGACUUCAGGAUGCAGAUGCUGAGAAGGACUAGAGGCAUGGAAAUUGGAAUCUUGACCGUCAUUGAAGACGACCUCGCCAUGAAAGCGCCAGACACUGUCACCAAUAUCGCCAUCGUCCUGGAAGAGACUGUUGUUCUACAGGACAUCAAGGAUCUUCUAUCUGCACUGGCCUACCUAUGCGGACUCCUGCAUGACAUGGGGUGCCAAUACUUAUGACCCCUGUAUUUUAAGGAAGAACAUU